GCUGUUUCAAGUUAGAAAUGAAGUCACUGAUUUACUUCCCAUUCGAAUUGUUUUACUCUGACAUAGACGACAUACGUUAGUUAGUGAAAUGGCAUACAUUUAGUCAUAAGCGUGUCGCUUACGGUCGUAGCAGUACGUGUUCUUUAUCAUGCAAACGUCUAACGUGGGUUUUUAUUAUUAUCAUUUUUGCUGUUUUUCGCCACACUCAACAAUUUUUAGCCGAGUUGCGUAGCAAAUUUCGGCUUUUAAAUUUGCGAAGGAUGGGCGUCCAGUCGGGCGGGCGGCGUCCACAAUUAGCUUGUCCAGUCUCUAACUUUCAUACAUUUUGGUGCAUUUUUGUGAGACUUACAUACAUGUAACAUGAUAACAUCCAAAAGAGGAAGGUUUCUAUUUAUUUUGAGGUCAAAAGGUCAAGGUCACUUUGUCACUAAAUGUCAUAGAUUUGAGCUCGUCCGGUCUCUAACUUUCAUACUACUAGGGGCAUCUCUGUGAAACUUAUAUAACAUGAUCACAUUUAGAGGUCAAGAUUACUUUGUCACUAAAUGCCAUAGAUUUGAGCUUGUCGGGUCUGUGCAAGUUUUUCAUGAAUGCAAGCGUGCCUAAUUUUCCAAAAUCCAACUCGGUCAUAUGCAUCUUUGAUGAGUUUUAGCGAUUUUUCAAUUACCUGGUGGCGCCCAGUUUUUAUUGGUGGCAGAGAGAACCCAGAUAUAUGUAACUGGGAAGAGACCACCGACCUUCCGAAAGUAAACUGGGGAAAACUUUCUCAUUAACCGGCGCGAUCUAACGUGGUAUUGAACCUUCCCGAAAGACGCAGUGCCGGAACAGUCACUUUAUUGGACUUUAUAGUAAAGAUAAGAUGAGCUUAGAAUUCUGAACAAUAGACCAAAGCAUCCUUAACAAUGACCUCCACGGGUAGGACAGGUUACAAUACGAUUUCAGGUUUAUAUAAGCAAAAUUGAUCUUUUUAGAAUGUUUUAAGAACUACAGGUGUAGACUUUGUCAACUUGUCAUCACCAUACAAGGUAUAUUCGAACUGGGUCAAACCAUGAAUCAACUUACCCUAACCCAAGUAUUGGGUAGGUUAUCGUUAAAAUUCGCAUGGACUUCCUCACUAAGCGCCAUGAAAUAGGACCUCAAAAGGAGAUUCCGAAUCGCUGUAGGUGUUGGUACGAUACAAAACACUCACUUAUAUGGCUUUAAUCAACGGGCAUUGAAUAAAACUCCCUCGAACUGAUGACUCUUAAGAGAAGCAACCACGAUUGGACGCAAAACAAAAGUAAGUCACAAGUCUGUCAAUUUUGGUAGAUUAAGUUGCGGUAGCUCAUUGGUAGAGUAUUUGCCUCUUAACAUGAAGGUCAUGAGUUUGAGCCCCGUUUGUACCAUGGCUGCGUCAAACCUAAGAUGUAAACAGAGAUAGUGAUUACAAACACUUGGCAUCUAGAAGAGAUUGAUUGAUUGUAUCUUGCUUAACGUCUCACUCGAGAAUUUUUCACUCAUAUGGAGUUUACGUUAAGGAGGUAUGCUACACCAGAGAAAUUUGAUGCAGAUGAAAAGUGGAGGAUAUGUACAACAAUAUUUUGAAUUUAAAAUUUUUCAAAUUUACUUUAUUUUGUCAAAAAAUACAGUUUUAAUAGAAAGUAAUCUGGAAAAAAAAUUAAAACCCCUGCUGGACUCGAACCUGCGACUUACAGUUCAGCAGUCGGUAUUCUAACCUACUGAGCUACUCGGCUAGGUAUUUAAGUGGAAAAGAAAAAGUCAAAUAUUGCUGAUAUCGAUUUUUUCAUCCAUGUUUUUAAAGGAAGUCAGCCAUUAUGACGAUGUAGAGUACUACCUUAACUAGUCUUGGGAGUUGUCAAAAUAGGGGACCAGUUAAGAGAAAGUAAACAGAGUUGUGAUUUAAACCCGGGACAGGGGACAUGUUGAAAAUGGAUUAAAAGCAAGUAAGUGUUGAUUUCCUUGUGACGGUUUUGUGCAUUACUGCUAAAUGUUUGAAAACAAGUUGUCUAUUGCGUAAAUCCAGGUACAUCUGAGACGAAACGUCGGUCGAAGCAUAAACCGUCACCGACUCCGGCAUUUACACGUUUUCCAGAAUCAAAAUAUGAAUGCUUGCGAAAAGUCGAUGAAGGCUAUGCCUCUCGAUUUCUCUAAAGAGAAUAGACUCUUUACUAGUCAGUGCAGUGUAAGUACACGCACAUUCACAUGAAUUUUUAAUACUCAGGUACACUGACGUAAUUAUGUAUCAACCAAAUUAAACAUCGUCAAUGAAACAAUGAUAAUUACGUGCAUUAAAGAUGCACAUUUUCUCAAAACCCCAUUCCAGUGCUCAUGUGUUUAUAAUUAGAGAGAAAAGGUAUGGUGUCCCAGUCAGGUCUAGUCAGGUUAGUAAAUCAUCUGAUGUGGAUUUUUUAAAAAUUGACUCUUAUCAAAAGUAAUAGGGUUGAUCAUUAUCAACAAAAGCACUAUAUUAAAUGUGUUUAUGAUUAAAGAGAAAAAGUAUGGUAUCCCAGUCAGGUCUAAAAUUAGUAAAUCAUAAGGUAUGAUGUGGAUUUCAAAAAAAUUAAAUCUUAAUUGCUCUUAUUGAAUGGAAUGGGGUUGAUCAUGAACAAAUUACAGAAAUCUUUUUUAUUUUAUUUACUUUUUUUUAGCUCACCUGAGCCGAAGGCUCAAGUGAGCUUUUCUGAUCACAUUUUGUCCGGCGUCCGUCCGUCUGUAAACUUUUCACAUUUUCAUCUUCUUCUCAUGAACCACUGGGCCAAUUUCAACCAAACAUGGCCAAAAGCAUCCUUGGGUGAAGGGCUUUCAAGUUUGUUCAAAUGUAGGGUCAUAUCCCUUUCAAAGAAGAGAUAAUCACAAAAAUGUAAAAAUAGGGUGAGGUCAUUUAAAAAUCUUCUUCUCAAGAACCACUGGGCCAGAAGAGCUGAAAUUUAUCUGAAAGCUUCCUGACAUAUUGCAGAUUCAAGUUUAUUCAAAUCAUGGCCCCCGCUGGUAGGAUGGGGCCACAAGGGGGGGAUCAAAGUUUUACACACAAAUAUAUACGGAAAAAUUUAAAAAUCUUUUUCUCAAGAACCACUAAGCCAGAAAAGCUGAGAUUUACAUGAAAGCUUCCUGACAUAAUGCAGAUUCAAGUUUGUUCAAAUCAUGGGCCCCGGGGGUUGGAUGGGGCCACAAUAGGGGAUCAAAGUUUUACAUACAAAUAUAUAGGAAAAAUCUUUUAAAAUCUUCUUCUCAAGAACCACUGAGCCAGAAAAGCUGAUUUUUACAUGAAAACUUUCUGACAUAGUGAAGAUUCAAGUUUGUUCAAAUCAUGGCCCCCGGGGGUAGAAUGGGGCCACAAGGGGGGAUCAAAGUUUUACAUACAAAUAUAUAGGGAAAAACUUUAAAAAUCUUCUUCUCAAGAACCACUAAGCCAGAAAAGCUGAGAUUUACAUGAAAGCUUCCUGACAUAAUGCAGAUUCAAGUUUUUUCAAAUCAUGGGCCCCGGGGGUUGGAUGGGGCCACAAGGGUGAUCAAAGUUUUACAUACAAAUAUAUAGUUAAAAUCUUUUUCUCAAUAACCACUGAGUCAGAAAAACUGAUAUUUACAAGAAAACUUUCUGACAUAGUGCAGAUUCAAGUUUGUUCAAAUCAUGGCCCCCGGGGGGUAGGUUGGGGCCACAAGUGGGGGGGGGGGUCAAAGUUUUACAUAUAAAUAUAGGAAAAAGCUUUAAAAAUCUUCUUCUCAAGAACCAUUGGGCCAAAGAAGUUGACAUUUACAUGAAAGCUUUCUGACAUAGUGUAGAUUCAAGUUUGCAAAGGGUAGUUUGGGCCAUAAUAGGGACUAGGGUUUUACAUGCAAAUAUAUAUGGAAAGUCUUCAGAUAUGGGCCAAGGUGACUCAGGUGAGCGAUGUGGCCCAUGGGCCUCUUGUUGUUUUUUAGAUAAGUGAUUGUUUUGAGAAUAAAUCAUUUUUAACUAUUAUAGAUAUUUUUGAGAUGUGAAAAUGCAUUCAUGAAGUGUUUUAAUGAAGGGAUAGAAUGCUUUUCAUUUUAUAUUGAAAUAACAAUUCUCUCUAUGGUGAACUGAUCAGAUGUGUCCAAUGUCACUUAGAUGCCCACUGUUUUGGGUGAGCUAAAUUACUGUAGAAAGGACGAUAAGCAUUUAGAUGCUCAUAAGUAUUCAAUGUUUUAUUUCAUUGAAAUUGCAACAAAAAAAAAAAAAAAAAAAAAAAAAAAAUAUUGAAAACAUUCUAUGCAUGUUGAAAUUAUUUACUAAUUUUUUCACAAGGUAUAUGAAAACUCUAGGGUAAAUUCACAGUGGAAAACUGGCAGAAGAGUUAAUUUCCAAAUAAAUAAAAACUUGAUACAUUUCUUUUAUUAAAAAUGUAGACUUCUCAUCACAACAUUUCAUUAAAUCUAGAUAAAGAUGACUAUCAAAAUUUUAGGAGGCAAUCAACAGUACUGAUGGAGAUGAGAGAAGGAGAACAUUUCAAGUGUGAGAUUACAUUUGAUGAGAUUGAUAUGACAAUGGUACGUGCACCAGAGCCAACUGUCAAACAGCACUCCAGCCAGCAACAUUUUCCUCAUGUACUCUUUGACUUGGAAUCAAAAGGAUUAGCUAGAGAUUCUCAUAUUACACAGCUGCCGUGUAUGGUGAAGAAAAGUUUUCCACCUAUACCUUUCCAAAAAUACCUAUAACAGCAAAAGACUAAAAAAUAACAGAAAUCGAAAAUGUUAAUGGAAAUAUGUUUAGCAAAAAUGAAAAAUGUAGAAGUCAAUCCUUGGAAAAUUGAUGCUCCUCUUAAUUUUGUUUCAAAAUUUCAAACUAAAGUAAUUCUGCAUUUACAUUAGCGAUGUAUGCAUGUUAACAAAUAUGAAUGUUUAUUGUAUACUAUACUCAAUUUAACAUGUUCUGUUUAUGAGAGAGAGAGAGAGAGAGAGAGAGAGAGAGAGAGAGAGAGAGAGAGAGAGAGAUUAUUGCAAGAAUUGGAAAGUAACUGCAAAAAUUAUGUGCAAACUGCAUCAGUAAUGAUAUACACGGUGGUGAUAUUGUUCUCUGAAUUUUGAUACAAAUUAAUGUACCAAAUGAAAUUAUCUGAUUAAAUUUCCAUUUUCAUUUCAAAUGAAAAUGAUUGAAUUUCAA